AGUGGAAUUGCUGGAUUUUAUGGUAACUCUGUUUAAUUUUUUUGAGGAACUGUCAAACAUUUUUCCAUAGUGGCUGCACCAUUUUAUGUUUUUAUCAGUGAU
rnacentral:pre_miRNA from 1 species